GGGUAUUCUAGUCAUUUUAGUUUUUUCCAUUAUAUUAUUACACCUCUAUUCCAUUCAACCAAACACAAGAUUACUAUUACGCCUCUAUUCCAUUACAUUCAACCAAACAGUUGAUUUGCUAUUACACCUCUAAUCCAAUACAGCGAACCAAACGCACUCUUAUAAUUUUGUUGUAUAAUGCUUCUUCUUCUUCUUUUUUUAAAAAAAAGAGUAGUCUAAUUUAUACAUAUGAUACUGUUGGGCUCAAUUUUAGCCCGGAACCCAAUAAACAAAUUAAAUAAAAACACCGAAACAGUCCAAUGUCCAUUUACAAACCUAUACCACUACUCAAACUAGCCCAAACAUUACACGGGCCCAAUCCAAAAUUACAACCCACACUAAAGACCCUUGCCCAAAUUUUCAGCCCAAAAGCUUAAACAAUUUCAGCCAAAGAAACCCUAAGCAGACCCUUGUGCCGCAGCCAACAACGCACCUCCCCCGCACGUCGCGCGCUUUCUCCGCGUCGUACGCUACUUCACCACGCUACAUCAAUGAUACACCCACGCACGUACCUGCAAACGUGCAAAAAAUUGAGAUGUAAAAUGACUAUAAAAAGCCUUCGAAAAUUGUUUGUAAGGGACCUUUUUUUGGAUGAAUAUAUGAUAGCAAAGAGUACAAACAAAAAGUCAAUAGCAAUCAAAGAUCGAAUCCAAUGUUGUUUUUCAGUUUUUCUUUCCUAUUCACAGUCGUGUUUUUUCUUUUUCCCUUUCGUUUUUAUUUUACUUUGCAAACGGAUUUUAAACAAAAGCCGAAGGAGAAGAGGCUUCCCUGGGUCCACUCCGUGGAUCGGCGUCGGAGGUGGAGGCGCAGAAGUGCCAAUGACCCUCGUGCACAGCCUCUCAGGAUAGGGUCAAAACCCUUGAAACAAAUUGGGAUUUGUUUUGCUACCUGUGAAGAAUGGCAGAUGGCCAUUCAUUUUUUGGUUUUUUAAAUGGCAAAUAAAACAGCACCGUUUGGUGCUGGACCCACGCAUUUUGGCUCAAAAUGAGGAAUUUGCGCAUGGAGUCCCCCCUUCGCGCUAGCGUUCAAUUGAGCCAUGUUUAAGUUUUUUUAAAUUCUUUUAAAUUGUCCCUGGAAUUUGCGCGCCGUUACAAAUCAGUCUGCGCUUAAGUGUUUCAUUUUGGGCGUUUGGUUUAUUUGUUUUUUUAGUCCCCGUUAGUUUAUACGCCUCGCAUUUUGAUCCUACGGUACUUUAUCAUUUACAAAUUGUCUUUUUGAUUUUAACCUUUUUUUUUAAAUUAAGUUUUUAAUUCAUAUUUUAAAUUUUCUUUUUUAUUAUUCAUUUUUUUCAUAUAUUAUUUUACUAUGUACUGUUUUAAUAAAUUACAUAUUAUUAAGGUUUUUAUUUCCUUAUUUUUGCGUAUUUUUACAUUGAUUUGUUGUAUGACUUAUUGGUUUUAAAAUUCUUUUAUAUAAUUUUAUACUUUAGUGAUUUU
rnacentral:lncRNA from 1 species